UAAUGAGCUCAUGGCAUUUCAAGGUACUUCAUUUUAGAGGGAAUACCUUACCAGGAAAGGCAGGUUUUCGAAUGUGGGAAGGGGCAAGGAACUCAAACCAUGGGCCCAAUGGAGGAGGAGAAGGAGGAGGAGGCUAAAAUAAAAAUAGCAGAAAUUCCAUCCCGUGGAUAAUACUUAUUGACUGUGCUUGAAAGUCCUGGCAUUGCUGGAGACACUUGGAGAGGAUCUGGCUGCUCUGCUGGCUGCCAAUGGAAGGGAACCCCCCAUGCUCCC